CGGCGAACUGCAGGCUGAAUAGCAGAGAUUGCACAAUUGGAGAGAAGGGCUGCGAUGACUGACACCAGCAAAUUAAGGAAUUAUAUCAGAACUCAGAACUGUAGUGUCCUCCACAUACAAGCUGAAGAAGCUUCUUGGAUGAGAAGCAAAACGUCUUCAAAUAAAAACAAAGUUCAAUUGCCUCUUGAAAAAGCAUCUUUGGGACAACCAUGACCUGGAUAACUGACAAUCUCCAUAGACAUGCAUAAAGCAAGAUAAAAACAUAGAGGACCUAAAGUGAAUGCUUCUUUCUAUAGUCAGGAACAUCUGUCAAAUAGUAUGAAUUAAAAGCCCUCAAAUCUACCACUUGGCCAUGUUUUAUCAGUGGACUAUAAUAAGCCAAUUUCUUUACUGAGGCAGCUUUAAGAACAUGUAUGGAGAACUGUUAUAAAAUGGCUCUAACUCAGAAUCCCUUCCAGAUCUUUUAAUUCUUCAAGAUGUGUGUUUUUCUCAAUUAAAUAAUCUUAAAAGAUAGUUAACUUACUUCUUUUUGAAAAUGAAUCUGAGGCCAGUUGUCAGCAUUGAACUUAUACCCAUGUACAAGUAAGUGGUAGAUAUAGUUUGCUGAAAAGCAGUAAGAUCUUGCAUAUGUUUCCUCAAAUUUAGAGAGCAUAAAUGGCAACUGAAAAACAAAACUGACUAUUGAUAACAAAGUAAGGUUUAUUUUUUAAAAAAUAUAAUUCUUACUUUUCUGUUGUGAUUAUAAUGGUUAAAAUACUGUACCUAAGAAAAUGAUUUGCUGAAAUCUCAUGGAGAGAUCUUUGGUGUAAUUAAUUGCAAACUCAAGUAUCUCAAGAAAUACGAAUAAAAUAGGCAAAUAAUA